AGUCCAACUCUCACUCCUUGAAUCUCCUCUACCUGGAUAAGAGAGAUCACGAGCAGGACUGCAAUUGCCUGGCUAUUGAGAGCACCCCCUGUCUGGUAACUACUAAAGUGACACCUAGUUCCCAACUGAGCUUCAGCCAUGAAGAUUCUUUAUCUGCUCUUUGCUGUUAUAUUUCUGGUGCUCCAGGGUGCUCCAGAAUGGUCCCAGGCUCAGAAUUGGAGUAUGAGAUGCAGAUACCGUGGAGGGUUCUGUCGCACUGGGAGGUGCCCUUCUAAUACAAUACGCAUUGGAAAAUGCUCUGGAGACGGAAAAUUUUGCUGUCAAAGGAAAUUAUUUGACUGAUGGUCUAGGCAGGAUCUCUGGGAAGCUGAGAGACAAUGAUUUGCUUCUAAAAUCAUCAGGCCCUCCUUCAAUGAAAUGCUGAAAUGCUGUUUAUUUGGGCUGUAAAAAACUUUGUGUGCUGGAGACAUUCCAGAAGGGAGCCCUUGUAUCACUAUAUAAGAUUUGCUGCUUUCCUUUUAAUAAAAGCAAGCUGGUUCCAACUAA